UACGUAGGGACCGAGCGUUGUCCGGAUUCAUUGGGCGUAAAGAGCUCGUAGGCGGCCACUCAAGUCGAAUGUGAAACCUCGAGGCUUAACCUCGAGCCUGCAUUCGAUACUGGGCGGCUAGAGUCUGGUAGGGGGGAUCUGGAAUUCCUGGUGUAGCGGUGGAAUGCGCAGAUAUCAGGAGGAACACCGGUGGCGAAGGCGGGAUCCUGGGCCAGUACUGACGCUGAGGAGCGAAAGCGUGGGGAGCAAACAGG
rnacentral:rRNA from 1 species